UGCCAGCAGCCGCGGUAAUACGGAGGGGGUUAGCGUUGUUCGGAAUUACUGGGCGUAAAGCGCACGUAGGCGGAUUAGUAAGUUAGGGGUGAAAUCCCGGGGCUCAACCCCGGAACUGCCUUCAAUACUGUCAGUCUUGAGUCCGAGAGAGGUGAGUGGAAUUCCUAGUGUAGAGGUGAAAUUCGUAGAUAUUAGGAAGAACACCAGUGGCGAAGGCGGCUCACUGGCUCGGUACUGACGCUGAGGUGCGAAAGCGUGGGGAGCAAACAGGAUUAGAUA
rnacentral:rRNA from 1 species